rnacentral:rRNA from 1 species
CCUGACGACCACAGCAAGGUGGCCCCACUCCUUCCCAUCCCGAACAGGACCGUGAAACGCCUUCGCGCCGAUGAUAGUGAACAUUCGUUUGUGAAAGUAGGUCAUCGUCAGGC